GGACCUCUGUCUGAUGUUGAUCACUAUGAGUUCAUGCCUGACUCAUACAUAGCUAGAACAUGGGCAAAGUGCUAGUGAAGCAGCUCCAGCCAUGCAAGAGAAGACUUCACCCUAGGAGAUGAUGGACAAGAAAAAGAAAGGAAACCAGAUUCCAGGAUGAUCUCAUUGAACAGGGCUAACCACUGCCUUGGACCAUCCACCUACCUCUAGACUAUCACAUCUGACACUUGCUCCUGUCCCAUCUCCUGGUCUUUCCCCCCUUCUUCAAAACUGACAGACAAUAAAGGUAUGAGGAAGGAUCAUGUCCAUCACCCAGCAGAAGAGAUUGGCAAGAGAAAUAUUCCAGGAACAUCCCUGGUGUUGCAGUGGUUAAGAAUCCGCCUGCCAACACAGGGUACAUGAGUUCAAUCCCUGGUUC